UACAGUUCUGUUUAAAGCUGU
rnacentral:piRNA from 1 species